rnacentral:miRNA from 10 species
UAUUAGGUUGCUGCAAGAGAACUGUGGUUUUUGCCAUAAAAGUAGUAGCAAAAACCACAAUUACUUUUGCACCAACCGAAUAAA